rnacentral:rRNA from 1 species
UACGGAGGGUGCGAGCGUUGUCCGGAAUCAUUGGGCGUAAAGGGCACGUAGGUGGCGGGACAAGCGUGCGGUGAAAGCCUGGGGCUCAACCCCGGGUCGGCCGUGCGAACUGUUUUGCUUGAGCACUGUAGAGGCAGGCGGAAUUCCGGGUGUAGCGGUGGAAUGCGUAGAGAUCCGGAAGAACACCGGUGGCGAAGGCGGCCUGCUGGGCAGUAGCUGACACUGAGGCGCGACAGCGUGGGGAGCAAACAGG